rnacentral:rRNA from 1 species
AGAGUUUGAUCCUGGCUCAGAAUGAACGCUGGCGGCGUGCUUAACACAUGCAAGUCGAACGAUGAAGCCUAGCUUGCUAGGUGGAUUAGUGGCGCACGGGUGAGUAAUAUAUAGGUAACGUGCCUCUUAGUCUGGGAUAGCCAUUGGAAACGAUGAUUAAUACUAGAUACUCCUUCUAACUCUAAUGUUAGUCGGGAAAGUUUUUCGCUAAGAGAUCGGCCUAUUUCCCAUCAGGUAGUUGGUAGUGUAAGAGACUACCAAGCCUAUGACGGGUAGCGGGUUUGAGAGGAUGAUCCGCCACACUGGUACUGAGACACGGACCAGACUCCUACGGGAGGCAGCAGUGAGGAAUAUUGCACAAUGGGGGAAACCCUGAUGCAGCAACGCCGCGUGGAGGAUGACGCAUUUCGGUGUGUAAACUCCUUUUAUGAGUCAAGAAAAUGACGGUAGCUCAUGAAUAAGCACCGGCUAACUCCGUGCCAGCAGCCGCGGUAAUACGGAGGGUGCAAGCGUUAUUCGGAAUCACUGGGCGUAAAGGACGCGUAGGCGGGAUAGUAAGUCUGAUGCGAAAUCCUAUGGCUUAACCAUAGAACUGCAUUGGAAACUACUAACCUAGAGUAUGGGAGGGGGAGAUGGAAUUAGUGGUGUAGGGGUAAAAUCCGUAGAUAUCACUAGGAAUACCGAAAGCGAAGGCGAUCUCCUGGAACAAUACUGACGCUAAGGCGUGAAAGCGUGGGGAGCAAACGGGAUUAGAUACCCCGGUAGUCCACGCCCUAAA